AACGAACGCUGGCGGCAUGCCUAACACAUGCAAGUCGAACGAGACCUUCUGGUCUAGUGGCGCACGGGUGCGUAACGCGUGGGAACCUGCCCUUAGGUUCGGAAUAACUCCCCGAAAGGGGUGCUAAUACCGGAUAAUGUCUUCGGACCAAAGAUUUAUCGCCUUUGGAUGGGCCCGCGUUGGAUUAGCUAGUUGGUAGGGUAAAAGCCUACCAAGGCGACGAUCCAUAGCUGGUCUGAGAGGAUGAUCAGCCACACUGGGACUGAGACACGGCCCAGACUCCUACGGGAGGCAGCAGUGGGGAAUAUUGGACAAUGGGCGAAAGACUGAUCCAGCAAUGCCGCGUGAGUGAUGAAGGACUUAGGGUUGUAAAGCUCUUUUACCCGGGAUGAUAAUGACAGUACCGGGAGAAUAAGCUCCGGCUAACUCCGUG
rnacentral:rRNA from 1 species